UACGAGGGGUGCAAGCGUUGCUCGGAAUUAUUGGGCGUAAAGGGUAGGUAGGUGGUCUCAUUUGUCUGGGGUGAAAGCCUUGAGCUCAACUCAAGAAGUGCCCCAGAAACGGUGAGACUGGAGUCUUGGAGAGGGUCGUGGAAUUCCCGGUGUAGCGGUGAAAUGCGUAGAGAUUAGGAAGAACACCGGUGGCGAAAGCGCCUUGCUGGGUCUGCACUGACACUGAGGGACGAAAGCCAGGGGAGCGAAAGGG
rnacentral:rRNA from 1 species